AAACCCCUUGUCGACGUUCGCACACCUCUCCUUCUUGGCCACCACCACACACAUCGCAGUUUCAUCAAAGGAAAUACUCUAAUCACUCAAGACCUACAUACACACUGAACGUGUUUCUCAUCAUGAAAAUUUGUUGUUUUUAUAUAUAUAUAUUUUUUAAAUGAUAUUAUCUAUUUUGGUUUUAUUUUCACCAUUAAUGGCUGCCACAUGGUACACGUCACGUAAUGUGUUUUUGUAUCAACAUACAUUAUUAUCCCAACAAAGGGUGUGCAGAAAACAGGUUCGUUUAUUCAAUAUCAUAGCUUGCUUCCAUUUCCUAUAAUAAUUACUCAGCAACACCGUUUCAUGAGAAAGUAGCAAAGUUGGUUGUGGCUGUGGUUUCAUCUUUGCAUCUGAUACAAGAUGGUGAAGAGAGUGAGGUCUGAUUCGGGGUACCUGUACUGGAGGUGGAGUCCAAGAGACUGUAAAUUGCCCGAGUUCAAUCCUAAGAAGUUUCUUAAGUUUAUGAGAAAUAAAUCAUUGGCUUUCAUUGGUGAUUCAGUCUCUCGUAAUCAUGUUCAGUUCCUACUUUGCAUUCUCUCAAAGUUCACUUUCUAUAGCUUACCAAAUUUGAAGACAUUAGGGUCCAUUUGCUUCAAACUGAAACCCUAGUUGAAGAGGUGCCAACGGCGGUGUCCCUUCUAACACCUCUCUAUCGUCUCCCAAUUAAAAUCCCACGAGAUUUUUACCUGUCUGGUCGGUAUGUUCUAAAAGAAGCAGUCUCAUAUAGCCGAUGCCCCAUGACAAGGCUUGAAAAAUCUGGCCAUCUACUACCAUCAUUGUUAAAUCCAGGAAAGAAGGCAUCUGCUUCCAAAGAAACAAUGUAAUCAAGCACAUCCCAAAGUAACCUGUGUGCUUUCAUCCUCAGGUCCAUUGGGGAAUGAUCAGGUUCCGUAGGGGUCUCGGUGAUCCAUGCAUACCAACCUUCUUUUUCAUGCUAGUAAAGUGGUUUAUCCGGGGGUGGGGGAAGAGGCCGAGGACCAGCCUUCUUCCAUGCUUCCGUGAGUUCUUUCUCACUUUUCAUAGGAGGUGGUUGAAACCUAUUUAGAGGAAGAGAAGUUUCAGGUCCAACCAAAUCCGACAACUCCUUCUCACUGCACAAGGAAGUGUGAUCCAGAGUAUUCGUUCAAACCUGCAAAAAUAAAUAAAAAGAGAAAGUCUGCAAAAACUUUCAUUCAAGCCUGUAAAAAGAAAUAAAAAGAGAAAGUUACAGGCACCAACGCCCACCACCGUGUCACUCACUUGCUCAUCUUCAAGUUCCGGUGCAGCGCCAUACCAUUAAUCACAUUAUUCCCACCAGUUAAAAGUCCUAGCUGUUGUCGCCGCAAGAGGUUAAUGGCGUGCAAUUCAGAUUCCUUGGCAGCCGGUGACGAGGACGGAGGUUUGUGGUGAUUCUAGUCGACGAGGUUGUGUCGGUGGAUGGAAACGAAGAUGUAAGGAAGGAGACGGAGGAGGAAGGAGAGAAGUCGGAGACGAAGGAAGAGGGAGAGAAGCCGGAAAGAUUCACUCUGUCAGAAAAAAAAAAUAACGUGGUAUACACCCUUAGCCAUGUCAGCUUUGUUUUUAACGCUUUUAGUUUGGGAAAAUAAAAAAUUAAAGUUUCCUUAA